rnacentral:rRNA from 1 species
UACGUAGGGACCGAGCGUUAUCCGGAAUUAUUGGGCGUAAAGAGCUCGUAGGCGGUUUGUCGCGUCUGCUGUGAAAACUGGAGGCUCAACCUCCAGCCUGCAGUGGGUACGGGCAAACUAGAGUGCGGUAGGGGAGAUUGGAAUUCCUGGUGUAGCGGUGGAAUGCGCAGAUAUCAGGAGGAACACCGAUGGCGAAGGCAGAUCUCUGGGCCGUAACUGACGCUGAGGAGCGAAAGCAUGGGGAGCGAACAGG